rnacentral:rRNA from 1 species
GCUACUAGAUGGUUCGAUUAGUCUUUCGCCCCUAUACCCAAAUUUGACGAUCGAUUUGCACGUCAGAACCGCUGCGAGCCUCCACCAGAGUUUCCUCUGGCUUCACCCUAUUCAGGCAUAGUUCACCAUCUUUCGGGUCCCAACAGCUAUGCUCAUACUCAAAUCCAUCCGAAGACAUCAGGAUCGGUCGAUGGUGCACCCGUGAGGGUUCCCACCUCCGUUCACUUUCAUUACGCGUAUGGGUUUGACACCCAAACACUCGCAUAGAUGUUAGACUCCUUGGUCCGUGUUUCAAGACGGGCCGCUUACAGCCAUUACGCCAGCAUCCUAGCCGAAGCGAGAUCCUCAGUCCAGGCUGGCCGCAUUCCACCCCGGGCUAUAACACUCCCCGAGAGGAGCUACAUUCCCGAGGUCUUUAUCCGACCGCCCGAACUGAUGCUGGCCUGGCCGCAGAAGAGUACGCCGGUCAGGAGACCGGCUGAGCAACUGCGGACAAGUCUGGCUGCAAGCGCUUCCCUUUCAACAAUUUCACGUACUUUUUAACUCUCUUUCCAAAGUGCUUUUCAUCUUUCGAUCACUCUACUUGUGCGCUAUCGGUCUCUGGCCGGUAUUUAGCUUUAGAAGAAAUUUACCUCCCAUUUAGAGCUGCAUUCCCAAACAACUCGACUCGUCGAAGGAGAUUCACAUGGCUAAGGCAACCCAUCACAUACGGGAUUCUCACCCUCUAUGACGCCCCGUUCCAGGGGACUUAGACGGGAGCCCUCGCCGAAUCAUCCUCUACAAAUUACAACGCGGACCCCAAAGGGGCCAGCUUUCAAAUUUGAGCUAUUGCCGCUUCACUCGCCGUUACUAAGGCAAUCCCAGUUGG